UUUGGUUUGCUUGCAACCAAAGCUGGCGACCGGCGCACGGGUGAGUAACACGUAUCCUAUCUGCCUCAUACUCGGGGAUAGCCUUUCGAAAGAAAGACUAUAUCCGAUAGCAUAUAUUUCCCGCAUGGGUUUUAUAUUAAAGAAAUUCGGUAUGAGAUGGGGAUGCGUUCCAUUAGUUUGUUGGGGGGGUAACGGCCCACCAAGACUACGAUGGAUAGGGGUUCUGAGAGGAAGGUCCCCCACAUUGGAACUGAGACACGGUCCAAACUCCUACGGGAGGCAGCAGUGAGGAAUAUUGGUCAAUGGACGCGAGUCUGAACCAGCCAAGUAGCGUGAAGGAUGACUGCCCUAUGGGUUGUAAACUUCUUUUAUAUGGGAAUAAAGUUGUCCACGUGUGGAUUUUUGUAUGUACCAUAUGAAUAAGGAUCGGCUAACUCCGUGCCAGCAGCCGCGGUAAUACGGAGGAUCCGAGCGUUAUCCGGAUUUAUUGGGUUUAAAGGGAGCGUAGGCGGAUUGUUAAGUCAGUUGUGAAAGUUUGCGGCUCAACCGUAAAAUUGCAGUUGAUACUGGCAGUCUUGAGUGCAGUAGAGGUGGGCGGAAUUCGUGGUGUAGCGGUGAAAUGCUUAGAUAUCACGAAGAACUCCGAUUG
rnacentral:rRNA from 1 species